CGGGACGGGCCGGAGGGAUCACCGCGGAAAAAAAAAGCCAACUUUUACGCACGGAAUAUACUUUCGGGGGGGUCGGUUCUGUCUCUUUCAGCAGCAGGGCUACUCAGAGCUGAAAAGCAUGAAGCUCAGAUUCAGCUAAGCAACGGCCGGGGCCAGGAAUGCUGACCUUGGCGGGUGAACCGGGCCAACGACUGAGCGCAUCAACACUUGGUAGCAGCACAUGGCGGGACAGCUGUUGCAGGCCAAAGCGGGCAUCUGUGCACAGAGAGACAGAGAUAUGGACCGGGCGAGAGGAAGAGGUGUGGACAUCUGUAGCCAGGGAUUGACAAACGCUUGGAUGGAUGAAGAGAGGCGAGACGAGAAGGAAAAAGAGAGGAAGUUGGACUAGGGACAAGGAGCAGGAUUAUUUGAAUAGAUGACAGGGAGUGCUAGUGAGUGAGAGAAAGCG